rnacentral:rRNA from 1 species
GCCGCGUGUGUGAAGAAGGUCUUCGGAUUGUAAAGCACUUUAAGUUGGGAGGAAGGGCAGUAAGUUAAUACCUUGCUGUUUUGACGUUACCAACAGAAUAAGCACCGGCUAACUUCGUGCCAGCAGCCGCGGUAAUACGAAGGGGGCUAGCGUUGCUCGGAAUCACUGGGCGUAAAGGGCGCGUAGGCGGCCGAUUAAGUCGGGGGUGAAAGCCUGUGGCUCAACCACAGAAUUGCCUUCGAUACUGGUUGGCUUGAGACCGGAAGAGGA